rnacentral:rRNA from 1 species
UACAGAGGGGCAAGCGUUAUUCGGAAUUAUUGGGCGUAAAGGGCGCGUAGGCGGCGGGGUAAGUCUGGUGUGAAAUCUCGGAGCUCAACUCCGAAAUUGCACUGGAUACUGCUCUGCUUGAGGUUGGAGAGGAGAUCGGAAUUCACGGUGUAGCAGUGAAAUGCGUAGAUAUCGUGAGGAAGACCAGUGGCGAAGGCGGAUCUCUGGACAGUUCCUGACGCUGAGGCGCGAAGGCCAGGGAGCAAACGGG